AUCUGAUAGCACCUUACUACUUGGAUAACCGUGGUAAUUCUAGAGCUAAUACAUGCUAAAAAUCCCGACUCCGGAAGGGAUGUAUUUAUUAGAUUAAAAACCAAUGCCCUCUGGGCUCUUUGGUGAUUCAUGAUAACUUUGCGGAUCGCACGGCCUUGCGCCGGCGAUGGUUCAUUCAAAUUUCUUCCCUAUCAACUUUCGAUGUUUGGGUAGUGGCCAAACAUGGUGGCAACGGGUAACGGAGGGUUAGGGCUCGGCCCCGGAGAAGGAGCCUGAGAAACGGCUACUACAUCCAAGGAAGGCAGCAGGCGCGCAAAUUACCCAAUCCCGACACGGGGAGGUAGUGACAAUAAAUACUGAUACAGGGCUCUUUUGGGUCUUGUAAUUGGAAUGAGUACAAUUUAAAUCCCUUAACGAGGAACAAUUGGAGGGCAAGUCUGGUGCCAGCAGCCGCGGUAAUUCCAGCUCCAAUAGCGUAUAUUAAAGUUGUUGUGGUUAAAAAGCUCGUAGUUGAACCUUGGGCCUGGCUGGCCGGUCCGCCUCACCGCGUGCACUGGUCCGGCCGGGCCUUUCCCUCUGUGGAACCCCAUGCCCUUCACUGGGUGUGGCGGGGAAACAGGACUUUUACUUUGAAAAAAUUAGAGUGCUCCAGGCAGGCCUAUGCUCGAAUACAUUAGCAUGGAAUAAUGAAAUAGGACGUGCGGUUCUAUUUUGUUGGUUUCUAGGACCGCCGUAAUGAUUAAUAGGGACAGUCGGGGGCAUCAGUAUUCAAUUGUCAGAGGUGAAAUUCUUGGAUUUAUUGAAGACUAACUACUGCGAAAGCAUUUGCCAAGGAUGUUUUCA
rnacentral:rRNA from 1 species